UGGUUCUUAUAUAAGGACAUGGAAUAUUGGCUUGUGAAACCUACUCGAAGAAUCUCUGAGAUCUAAGUUACAUCAGGUCAGAUGCCUUUUACAAGAAAUCCACAAAGAAAUUCGCAGAGAAUGCGUAUGAUAUCCAUAUUGAUUAUUCUCAUGGCAGCUGCCAUGAUCUGCGCCUUUAUUAAAGACGCCAUACCCAGUUGUGAAUAUGUAUGCCAACAAAGAACAAAGGUUGGGGAAUUUCGCAACUAUGAAGAUUGUGUUAAUGAGUUUUGUAUUCUAAGACGGUCGUAAUUGUUGAUCACAUGCUGAAUAAAAUGAAGCAAAAAUAUUGCUCUAAAUGUAAUAAUUUGAAAUAGAGGACAACAGGAAAUUGGCAAUGGUAUUAUUACUUAUCCUGUCAGCAGUUCGUGUCUCGUCUCUUUGGCAUUUGGGCUCUAUUCUGUAUAAUAUCAACGAUAUAUUUUUCAAAUAAAAAUGAUGGAUCUAGUUUAAUUAUAAUUUAUAUGCCGUUACUUAUUUCUGAAAUAAAACAGAUUUGACGUUGA